rnacentral:rRNA from 1 species
AUUGAACGCUGGCGGCAGGCCUAACGCAUGCAAGUCGAACGGCAGCACAGAAGAGCUUGCUCUUUGGGUGGCGAGUGGCGGACGGGUGAGUAAUGUCUGGGAAACUGCCCGAUGGAGGGGGAUAACUACUGGAAACGGUAGCUAAUACCGCAUAACGUCGCAAGACCAAAGUGGGGGACCUUCGGGCCUCACACCAUCGGAUGUGCCCAGAUGGGAUUAGCUAGUAGGUGGGGUAAUGGCCCACCUAGGCGACGAUCCCUAGCUGGUCUGAGAGGAUGACCAGCCACACUGGAACUGAGACACGGUCCAGACUCCUACGGGAGGCAGCAGUGGGGAAUAUUGCACAAUGGGCGCAAGCCUGAUGCAGCCAUGCCGCGUGUAUGAAGAAGGCCUUCGGGUUGUAAAGUACUUUCAGCGGGGAGGAAGGCGGUGAGGUUAAUAACCUCGCCGAUUGACGUUACCCGCAGAAGAAGCACCGGCUAACUCCGUGCCAGCAGCCGCCGUAA